ACUACCUUCCUUUUUAUGACAACCUGCUAUCGUUCCAUAAUUGCACACGUUUAAUGUAGUCGCUUGAUGAUUUUGUCUAGAGAGAGAAGCUCUGAGAAUUCGUGGGGGGUGAUGGAGAAACCCCAUCGCCGUCAGCAUCUCGCUCUCCUGAAGCGUCGCUGGCUGUCACAGAGGCUCCCCAGUCGUCGGUCCCUCCGUCGGCUACUCCGUCUACGCUCGCGGCUCCCCACCUAGCUUCGCCCGCUAUUUCUAAGGUUCCCCUGUCUUCCGCCCUUUCGCUCGCUAGAGAAGAUGCUGGGGAGCCCAUGUCUCACAGUCAUCCGUCCGUUGGGAGCGCGGGGUAAUCGGCGCAGUUGAAUGCUGCUAGAGCGGUGGCGCCUAACGGCGGUGAAACUGCUCAACCGAUUGCUGCUGGCGCGAGGGAAUCGGCACUGCCUUUCGGUCCUCUGUCCGCCGGGGGCACGGGAGAACCUCCUCACCCGAUUGCUGCUGGCACGGUGGUGAAGGUGAAGAUCUCCUCCAAUGUUAGCUAUGAUGAGAAGAUUAUGAGGCAGUGGAGGCAGCCCUGGGACUUCAACCUUGUGGUGGAAAAGUUUCUCCUCCACUGCACAUCUUGAGGGACUUUGUUGACUUUCAUUUUCUAUUACUGCGAGUGUUUUAAGUUGGAAUUGUAGGGGCUUACAUCAUAGGUCAGUGAAGGAUAAGAUACAUUUUGUUAUCCAAUCUCAUAGAUGUAAUUUGGUUUUUUUGCAAGACAUGCACUCCGAUGCAAAUACUGCACGUAGGAUGGCAUGUAGGCUAGGCGGUGGAUGGUGCUCCUGGGCGAUAUCUGUGGAGGGUGCAUCGGGAGGGAUUGCAUUGCUUUGGAACUUAUUCAUAUCCAGGUGCUCUCUUCUCGUACUGCCAUUAUGUAAGAUGGGAGAAAUGACUCAUGAAUUUUUAUUAGGAUUUAUGCGAGUAUUUCUUUGUACGGUAGGAAUUUAUUAUGGAAUGACUUAAUUGUAUUGUUUCUUUGGGCUCUUAUGGGUGAUUUUAAUUGUAUUGUUUCAGCUUUUAACAAAUUUUGUGGUA